AUUCCAGCUCCAAUAGCGUAUGUUAAAGUUGUUGCGGCUAAAAAGCUCGUAGUUGGAUUUCUAGAUGAGAGGAGAGGUCCACCUCAUGGGUGUGCAUCUUCUUCCGCUCGUCUAUCCGCUCUGCAAACGUGUUCGCGCUUGAGUGCGUGGCGCGGAGGUAGGGCCUUUUACUUUGAGGAAAUUAGAGUGUUCACGGCAGGCUUACGCCUUGAAUAUAUUAGCAUGGAAUAAUAACAUAGGAUCUUGGUCCUAUUUUGUUGGUUUCUAGGACUUAGAUAAUGAUUAAUAGGGACAAUUGGGGGCAUUCGUAUCGCGGUGUCAGAGGUGGAAUUCUUGGAUUACUGCGCGACGAACUACUGCGAAAGCAUUUGCCAAGGAUGUUUUCAUUA
rnacentral:rRNA from 1 species